CGUCGCCUCCAGGGCCUCCUCCAGUCCUCAUCUUCUCCUUGGGAGUUCGGGUGCCCUGUGACACGAGCACCUCCCAUUCUCCCGGAAAACCUUCCGCAGGAUUUGGGCCACUUCCGGAUGUUUUUGCUCCAGGAGUGCCACAGAGCGCCUCUCCCGUAGCUGGAGUUAACAGACGGGGCCAGCGCCAGGAACACAUGAAUUUGGGGUCAACCCCGGGAAGCCGGGAAGGCAAAGCCUGGGGACUCUCUCAGGAGGUCGGGACACAGAACAGGCUUAGCAGCUGCGGGACCCGCGCUUGGCCAUUUUUAUCUUGCUGAAAAUGGCUCCUCUCUGCAGCAGAAAGCUGAAGUCCCCAGUCAGCCACGUGCCACCAGGAUCCACUGCUCUCUGCGAGCACUGACCAUGCUGCCAGGUGAUUUUGCUGCCGAGUGAUUUUGCCCAGCUGUGGCCUAGGUCAGAGUUCUGAGCAAGUCGAAGAUGGGAAAGCAGAUUUUACAUGGCACAGGAGGAAUGAGAACCCUCUCCAAGUAGGGCCCUCUCCCCGGGUCCCAGCGUGGAUUGUACCAGCCAGGACGAUGCAGGGAGGACGAGGUCACGCCCCAAGCCUCGCUUGGUACAGAAAUGCUGAAAGGAGAAAGACAAAAAACAAAAAAAAGCCUCUAUUGUGAUUUCAUUUUAAAGUUUUCACUUCAUAAAGAAUACUGAGAAUUAAUGCCCAAUAUUUCCUUCUUAAAUGAAAAAGGGGAAUGUCAUUUCCUUCCUCAUGUUAUAUAGAAUAUUUUGUAGACCAAGUUUUAACACAGCUAAAAAGCAGCAAACAGGUCUGCCGGUAUAAAUGCUUCAUGCCCUCUUUUUUU